UUCGCAAUGCCCGAAAGGGUGAACGAGCGACGCCGCGUGCGGGAUGAAGGCCUUCGGGUUGUAAACCGCUUUUGCAAGGGAAAAACUUAAUGAUGGUACCUUGCGAAUAAGAGGUUACUAACUCUGUGCCAGCAGUAGCGGUAAUACAGAGACCUCAAGCGUUAUCCGGAACCACUGGGCUUAAAGCGCGUGUAGGCGGAUGGGAACGUCGGUCUUUGAAAGCCCCCGGCUCAACCGGGGAAGCGGAGCCGAAACGACCGAUCUGGAGGGACGUAGGGGGACCUGGAACUUCCGGUGGAGCGGUGAAAUGCGUUGAGAUCGGAAGGAACGCCCGUGGCGAAAGCGAGGUCCUGGACGUCUGCUGACGCUGAGACGCGAAAGCUAGGGGAGCAAACGGGAUUAGAUACCCCGGUAGUCCUAGCCGUAAACGAUGGGCACUAAGUAGAGGGGUUUU
rnacentral:rRNA from 1 species